rnacentral:misc_RNA from 1 species
GAUGAAGAACGUAGCGAAAUGCGAUAAGUAGUGUGAAUUGCAGAAUUCAGUGAAUCAUCGAAUCUUUGAACGCACAUUGCGCCCUUUGGUAUUCCUUAGGGCAUGCCUGUUCGAGCGUCAUUUACGAAUUCAAGCUCAGCUUGGUGAUGGGUGUCUGUCCCGCCUCCGCGCGUGGACUCGCCUCAAAUGCAGUUGGCAGCUUAUCCCUCGGCUCUAAACGCAGCAGAUUUGCGUCGAGCGUCGAGCGGACGGGCUCUCCAGUAAGCAAACCCCCCCAAAAUUGACCUCGGAUCAGGUAGGGAUACCCGCUGAACUUAAGCAUAUCAAUAAGCGGAGGA